AGUAAAUAGAUACCCCGGUAGUCCACGCCGUAAACGAUGAGUACUAGGUGUAGGAGGUAUCGACUCCUUCUGUGCCGCAGUUAAACACAAUAAGUACUCCGCCUGGGAAGUACGGUCGCAAGAUUAAAACUCAAAGGAAUUGACGGGGGCCCGCACAAGCAGCGGAGCAUGUGGUUUAAAUUCGAAGCAACGCGAAGAACCUUACCUAGACUUGACAUCUCCUGAAUAGCGUAGAGAUACGUGAAGCCCUUCGGGGCAGGAAGACAGGUGGUGCAUGGUUGUCGUCAGCUCGUGUCGUGAGAUGUUGGGUUAAGUCCCGCAACGAGCGCAACCCUUAUCAUUAGUUGCUACCAUUAAGUUGAGCACUCUAGUGAGACUGCCCGGGUUAACCGGGAGGAAGGCGGGGAUGACGUCAAAUCAUCAUGCCCCUUAUGUCUAGGGCUACACACGUGCUACAAUGGUGAGAACAACGAGAUGCAAUACCGUGAGGUGGAGCUAAACUUGAAAACUCAUCCCAGUUCGGAUUGCAGGCUGAAA
rnacentral:rRNA from 1 species